GGCCUGGGUUGGGUGGCGGGAGGGGCGGUGUGCUGAGAGUUCAGAAGAAGUCCUCGGGGCUUUUGACUGUCUAGGAAAAAGGGCACAGUACCUAGAAGUGACCGUGAAACCACAGAAACAACUCACCACCAGCAUGUGGAGCGGAGCGCCAUAUAGAGACAGCACCACUCUGGUUAUGUGUUGUGGCAGGUCAUCCAGACAGGAAUCUAAAUUGCAGAAGAAACACAAUGCUGCGCGUUCUCAGAGACUGGCUGAUCACUGAAAUGGAAUUGUAGGUGUCAAUGCGUAGUAACAGUUCCUGGAAUGUGGAAACUGAUCUUUGUACCCUGAAACUUGUCUGUUUCUUCCAAAUCAUCUAGAAUUUCUCAAAGGAAAAGAUAAUUCAUUGUCCUGUUGCCUCAAAGCAGCUGUUGCAGAUGUUUGGAGAGAAGGUGUAUGUAAACAUCCUGAAGGCAAAGGGAGAAUGAUGUUUUCGGGACCGGAAACUGAUUCAUAAUAGUGGCUCUAGGAUCUGGGAGUUAAUUGGUGUAGAGAACGAUGCAGGGAGAGUAGACGACAUGGAGGACAGCGUUUACUUCUUCCAUUGGCUGUGACUUCUGUGUCUCCACUUUCCUGGCUCCCCUCAUAUGUGGACUAGGGGAAAUUUAGUGAAUUGCUGAAUAGGUAUCUAUCUCAGUUUCCUGGUUUUCUCAGAAGCCUAGUAAUUCAUUCUAGGCCAGUCAGAAGAUGAACGAAUGGACACAUGAGCAGCAUAAUCAAGACCAACUAAGAAAGGUUAGCCACGGUCAAAGGAAAUUGAUGAAGAGUGGCUAUUAAGGGCUGGAGCAUAUGUACGCAGACUAUGGUUAAAUAACGAUGCCUUGAGAAUUCCUUCAUCUUCACGUUUGUUUCACUAUCCGCGUAUUUCGUGUGUGGGGGCUGGGCAUCCCUGCUGUGGGUACGCAUGUGAAGGCUACAGGUAUUUGGAAUUCACAUACUGAAACAGCAAAACUCCAUGACAUGCGAUCCAUCAGAAAGUGAGUCCUAUGGAUGCAAGGUGGUUUUUCUUCCAUUUUGCUCACUACUUUGUCAGAAGUUCUUAAAACAAGGCCUGCACAUGGUUGGUACGCCACUAAUAUUUGUCAAAAGACUCAUUAUGAAAAAUAAGAUAGCUGUGUGAGGCAACCAAGGAAGAGCUGAAGCCCGGAGGUCCCCCCGGAGAGUCUGAGUAAUGAAGAUGAAAAUCACGGAUCAGAAGGAAUCUAAGGAAAUUUAUAAAAGUGCCCCAUGUUAAGUUGUACCUCAAGGCAACGGCAUUAGCAACCAUGGUGGCAGCAGUGAGAAUGCAUGAUCUGUAUGGGUUGAAAGAAGGGAGAAAAUUGUGAUGGAGGCAAGAUCUGCAUGUGCCAAAGACAGAGGAAAAAAUUAACCUGAAUGUGAUAAGCAAAAUACGUGAAACCAACAUAUUCUAUGAUUUUACACACACAUGGAAUGUCCAGAGACUACAAGUGGGUGGCAUCACAAAGCGAGGUCGAAGGUGGAAAUUAAGGUGAACUGCAGAUUGUCACAAAGAAUAGUCCUCCAUUUUACUCUCAUUAGUCUGAUUUUUGUGCAUGGAUUUGUAUGUAGGCAUGCUCAUGUGAGCGCAGGUGACUUUAUGGAGGCCAGAGGGGUCAUAUCCUCCCUGGAGAUGGAGUUGUUGAUGGCUGUAAGCUGUGUGACAUGGGUGCUGGGAACCACUUGGAUAUUCUGCAAGAGUUCUUAAUUACUAUGCCAUCUCUCUAGCUCCCACUCAUGUUGAAAGAUUUACCUCUAUUUUUAUUUUAUUUUUUGGGUGUGUGUGUGUGUCUCCUCCCAUACACAUGUCACACAGAUGUGGGUACCCAAGAAGAUGGAAGCAGCUAUCAGAUCCUCUGGAGCUAAACUUAGUGGUGGUUAGAAGUCACAUGACAUGGGUGCUGAGAACAGAACUCUGACCCUCUGGAGGGGCAACAAACACUCUUAAGCAAUGAGCAAUUUCUCCAGCUUUUAAGAAGACAGUUUUGAGAUGACAAAAUAUUCUAAAACUCGAUCAUGGUGAUGGUUAUAUGACUUACAAAGAAAAAUCAGAGAAUUACUUUACCUAUUAAAAAUUAGUGAACGAUACACUGUUCAAGUAUGGAAAUUUUAUGGCAUAUGAAUCUUAUCCUAAAAAUGUUAGACAGCAACAAAAAGCAAGAAGUAAGGGGUGGAAAGGAAAUCGGUAUGGCUGUGGAAGCUUUACCAGUGCCAUCAUGACAUAAAUUGACCAAAAUCUUGUAGCUAGGAGGAAGUAGAAUAUGAAUUUUAGUAAGAGAGUAUUUGGCUCCAAGAUAACACUGGAUAAAGGCAGUGCUAACAGUUGGAGGGCAAUAGUAGAUUAAUGAGAAGGGAAUGUUAUUUUAUUGAAAAACUUUCCAGUAUGUUUUUGAUUCUUUUCUUAGAAAAGGAGCAUGCUGGAAAGUAGCAAGUUUGAAAGCUUAAUUUAGUGAUAGAAUGACAGAUGGAAUCUUUUGUAAAGGCCAGAUGGAAGAAUGAGUGUGUUACCCAGGUAGGGUGGGCCAAGGUUGGAGGUAUGGGAGAGAAAAGAAGGGGAGACAUUUGAAAGGCAAGAGUCAUGCCUUGAUGAGUGACCUCACUGUUCAUGAAAGUAUUUUGUGCUUUUACAAAGGAACUUCUUCACAGUAAUUUAUGGAGAUCUUCCAUGCACAAUACAAUGCUUACGUAUCUGUAUAUUUAGUGAUACUGUAGAUUGAAUCUGUGGCUUCAUACAAGCCAUGUAAGCCCUCUACAUGGGCUAGGAAUCUACAGUCCUAGUUCAAGAAUACCCUGUAUUGCACUGUACUAUUGGUCACAAAGAAAGCAGUACCAGACCAGUGGAGAAACUCAGGAUGUAGGGGGUAAGAGUGAGAAAUGCCAGGCAUGGUGGUGGAUGCCUUUUAAUCACAGCACUUAGAAGACAGAGGCAGGUGGAUCUCUGAGUUCGAGGCCAGCCUGGUCUACAAAGCAAGAUCCAGGACAGUCAGGGCUACACAGUGAAAUCCUGUCUCACAAAACCAGACCAAACCAGAACAAAACAAGUGGGAAAUACCUCUGAUGGAAUUGUGAGGAGAGAAGGGAGAUGCUCUUCAGGGAAGGUGGCAAGUCUUACCUGGGCUGCAGGAUACUGGUGAUACAUUGCACACAUAUUACAUAGCACAUUGUGUUCUAUGCUUCGGGAAUGUGUUAGUCAGAGGUCUCAGUCUUAGGUGAUAGAAAACCAGCCCAAAUGAAUCUGAGACAAAAUGGUAUCAAUUGUCUUGUAGUAGUAGGGGCUGUGGGGUUUGUGUGGCUAAGAAGUGAUGUUUAAAACGCUCAGCUUCACUCUCCUGUCAACCAGUUCUUAGUUUGGCUCUCCCUCUGUGGCAAAUAUUCUACUGAAAACUCCACAUUUACAUGUUCCUGGCAGAGUAUAAUCCCUGAAAUCCCAGAAUUUAUUUUUCAGUAAUUAACAGAUGAGUGUGAUGUGGAGUCUCGCUGGCUCAUGCUUGUGUCAUGACCAUGAGCCAACCCUUGUGGCCAAGGGCAUUUGUUUUCUCAUUCAUUGAAGCAGAGCUUUGGGCCCAUCCUAUGGCGACUGUUACAGUAUGGUAGUUAGUGGUAUAUCUAUGAAAGGACCAUGUUGUCGAAGAUAUUGUAGAGGUUCCUUGGGUUCUUAGCAAAGCAACAGAAGCCAAGCCAAGCCAAGCAAGCACAUCAGAGAGAGAAUGGAGUGGGACUUGUGCAUUCUGCAACUCAGAUUUUAAAGAAGUUUUAAUGAAUGCUCAUGAAACCGGUGGUUAAUGCAUAAGGUAAGGUGACUGCUUUACUGUCUUAAAUUAUGGCGCACCAGAUUUUCCUUUAAAGGUAUUUCCACCCUUGAUUCCAGCACUGCAAGUGCUAUUAUAAUAAUCAAGUCCUCUGAGUCUUCAGCCCUGCUGUUAGGAUAUGUGUUUGGGAGAAUACCUUGGUACCUAAUAGAGCAACCUAAUUUCAGUUUCAAGGAUGUCUCACCACAAGGGGCAUUUUGAUGGUCAGGAGGUGUAGUCACCAAUAUGUAUCUGAAGUUUUCAUAGGCUGCCUCAUAUUUGAUUCAUUUGGGUGGGCAGAGGAUUUCUUAGAAGCUGUUCUUACAAUUUAGUCUGCUGUUAUUAAACGCAUUAGCUAUAAUACGUAAAAUGGUUCUGCUUUUGUACAUUACUGGGGGAAGGUGAAAUAGUGUUGCUUUGUGGAUGCCAGUUGGAGCCUGCCACAAGUAUCUUCAUUUUCCCCCCCAGAGCCUUGCCCUCCCUCUUUCCUGGUCAACUUCAUUAUCUCAUACUAAGUUGCAUGGCUUCAGUUUUCAUCCUUAGUGUUCUUGACCUUGCAAUUUUAAUCCCAAAGUUUGUUUCCACAGCAACAGUGUGUUAAAGGCUUGGUAAACAGCUUGUGGUUGCUGAGUGUGUUAGAAGCUGUGGCUGUUGAGAUCUAGUGGAAAAAAGAGGGACCAUUGGGGGAAGGCAUGUCUUUGAAGAGCGUGAUGGGAUGCUUACCUUUCCCUUCCCCUCUCAUUGUUUCCCAAUGAUCAACUUCUUUGCCACAUGCUAAUCAAUGAUGAAUUGUGUUUCCAUGAACCCAGAAUAACAGGACCAAGCAAAUACAGAUUGAAGCAUCUGAAACUACAAGCCAAAAUGAAUCUUUUUUUUUUCUUCAUCAAAGUAGAUUUUCUUCUCAGGUAUUUGUCACAAAGAUAGAAAGCUGAUUAACACAGAAACAAUUAGCCUCAUUCAAGACAGAAGAAUAUGAUCUUACUAACAGAAGAUGGAGAAAGGACCAAAGUAACCUCAAUAAUAUACCUACCUAAAACUGUGUGUAGUGGAUAUUGUUGGAAUUCAAUGAGCUCUCUUGAGUAGGCUUUAAUGUGUCAGUUUUUGAGAUUUGGGAAUUAACCCAUUGAAUAGUUAGGUUGCCCAAUGGUUUAUACUCAGAUAUAAAAUCAUAAAGAAUUGUGUUCAGGUCCAUUUGCCCCAAAGCCUCUUCCUCUUGAAUCACAUAGCUGAUGUUAAAGCAGGUAAACUCUGAAAUGUAAAAGAAGCACAUGUGGGUAUUUCCUCAGGGAUUUAAAUACAGGGUCAUCAGCUUGAAUUUACAGGCAGUGGUGCAGGGAGAAGGGAAUUGAGGAUGGUGUGGGACAUAGAAGAAAGAGGUGGUAGUUCAGAUCUGGGGAGAAGGCCUGGGAUGCUCCAGGUUAGCAGCCAGAGUUUCUAUGAGAGUUAAUAAAGGACUUGUCAUGUAGGUGAAAGCCAAAUUGUAUGUAGAGAACAAAAUCUUAUCCUAAGACACUCAGUUACUUGCACUACAAGCUUUUUUCAUGAAGCAUGCUAUUGCCUGAGACUGAAGCAGAGGCAAUAGAUAGUUUAAAAGCACAAGUCAGCCAGAAACUACACCAAGAAAAUGCCAUGGGUGUAGCUCUAUACUCAUCUCUAAAUGUAGAAGAUGAAAUGAACAGGUACAACUUGGUCUAUGCUAUGAGGCAGGGUGAGCCAUAUUUGGACAACUGGCUCAACAUACACUGGGCAUAGAUGUUGGAGAGGGCAGAUCUGAAAUAAGUGGAUAGUCACUAUAGAAAGACAAUUUGAGUGUCCAGCAAGGUGUUAAUAUUGUGAACAAGGAAGGGACUUGUGCUCAAAGAGUGGCCAAGGAAGGAGAAUGAGAUCAGGACUUGGAAGCACAUGGAGUAACAAGUCAAACCAAUCUAAGUGGGGGAGUGCAAAAUGUGGUAAGACGUGGUACAGGUGGAUGCAAGCCAGGUCUUUCUCCAUGUAAGGGUACAGGGAAGUUCUGAUGGGCACUAAUUUAUUCUGAUCUCUUGUGAAAUGUGAGGUAGGACAGAAAACCAAGACAUUGGAGAUAGCAGCCUGGGCUGAAAGUUGAGAUUCCACUUCGUGGUUGUGCAACCCUGGGCAAGGUACUAAUCUUAAUGUGGGUAAACUCAAGUAUGAAAAUAAGCAUACUUACAGGGCAAAUGUGGAAAUAUUUAGCAUGAUUUUAUACAUAUGCAUAUGUGUGCAUAUCUAUCAUAUCUAUCUAUGAAUAUCUAUCUCUGUCUAUCCAUCCAUCUAUCUAUCAUCUAUCUGUCUUUCAUCUAUCAUCAUUUAUUUCCUUCCUUCCUUCUUAUCUAUGUAAUAAUGUGUAGUAUAAGGACAGAUUCAGGACACUUAGCAUAUACAGAUGCUACAUAAAUGGUAGUUUAUGAUCAAAACACCACACUGGUAUAUUUUACCAUUGAAAAUAGUUAAGAUUUGUUGAGAUAGCUGGACAAUAAAAUCCCAAGUUCAGGUUCAGUCUAGGGGAAUCCAAAAGGAAUAAAUCAGAUUCAUUAGGCCAAGUUUUUUUUUUUAAUUUUUAUCAUUUCUUGUUAACAAACUUUUACAUAGUGAAUGUUCGAUAUAACAAGUACCAUGCAAGUUAUCUUUUACCUAUAGAACCUAAAGUUGGUUGCACUAGUCCUGGGAGUAUCUACCCAGUAGUUUAUCUUGAAUUUUAUUCACUCUCUGGAUCUCCCGUCUUUAAAUCCAUCUGGCUGUGCUAAUGAAAACAGUAAUUGCUUUAUGCAUUGAAAUUUGCAUCCCAUGAGUGAGUACCUAUCCUUUCUUUGAUUUGCUCAUAUCUCAUGCAUGUCUGAUCACUGAUGCACUAUGCACUAUGAUAAUUAUACUUGAGAUGAGGUGAGCUUUUACUUGAGAACUUUUGGCCACACAUUAUACCCAGAAUAUAUUUGAACAAUAUGAUUCACAUGGGUAUGAGAGAAACAUUCAUUGAGAUUCAUUUGUGAAUUGCUCAUUCAUUCACUUAACAAAAUUUAUUUGAAGCUUCCUAUAUGCAAAGUACCAACAAGUAUUAUAAGAGACACAUAUGGGAAGAAUAUAUAGUUCAAAACCCCAAGGAGCUUAUGUCUGAACAUAUUGCCUAUAGAACAAUAGAUUUUGUAUAGCCAUUAGGCAAGCACCUCUCCUUUUAAAAGGACUCUGCUAUGGAAUAGUCCUAAUAGCACUUUUCUUUAUCAACUAGACAGGAGGAAAAGUCAACGAGGCCUUCCUCACCCUUCUUUGAUAUUUGAGUUGUUCCUGGAAUGAUAUUUCAUUGCCCUUUGUAGACUAGCUCACAAAAGCCAAAUAAUACUUUGUGCAAACUACAGAUAUUGCUAAAGGGGUGUGUUUGAAAUUUUUGACUCAGCUAACUUUUUGUCAAGUGCCAUCCUCAGGAUUAAGAAGGCAUUGGAGAGUUUUCAGGAAAUUCAGCUGCAGUUUUUAUAAGUCAUGGAAAGAUUAAAGGAAAUUAAUUGUUGUCAACAAGAUUGUGGUCACUUUAUUUUGUGAACUGUCGGCCCCAGAUUGUUCUCUUUAUCAGUCAUUUGCAGUGGCUAGUAUUCUUCUGCAUUUUGCACUUCCAGCUCCCACAUGUUACAGAGAUACUGGGAUGAGGCCUCAGCUGAAAGUUCUCUUGCAUCAAUGUGAAGAGCAUGUUAAAAGAAAAGCGUUCAAGCUCACCAAGAGCUGUCCCUCAUUUUUCACUGGCAGAAGCUAAAGCUUGAAGAAAACCAAAGACCAGAUUUGUUUAUGGUGGAUUAUAUUGACAGACUUGUAUAUGUUGAACCAUCCCUGCAUCUCUGGAUUGAAACCUACUUUAUCAUGGUGAAUCUUUUUGAUGUAUUCUUAAAUUCAGUUUGGAGACAUGCCUGCUCCUGGCAGCACCAGUCUACUUCAGAGAAGAUGAUAGGGAUUGAAGAAACUCCAUAUGGAGUUUACUUUCCUUGUGGCAAAAAUUAUCCAAUGGGCAAGAAACUGCCCUUGCCUUGACUGCUGACAGUAUGCUAUCCAAAUUGGAUAAGCAGGACAUUGAAGAAAGUGACUGCCAAACUUUGCCAAGACAAGGGCAGGUGUUAAAACAAUUCCAUGGGGAAAAGAUGCUUCUGACUCAGGAGCUCCUGAUGAGCCAGAUGUCUGUGUCUCUUGUGCUGGAUUCAACAAUGAACUCUGGAUGAAUCUCAGACUUUAAUAUUCCUGAUGCUGGCAUGAAAAGGUUGGCAACUUCCCAUCACAUUUUAAGAGCCUUCAUCCAGGAAGCAGAUGCAGAGAUCCACAGCCAAGCACAGGCUGAGCUCUAGGAGUCCAGUCAAAGAGAGGGAAGAGGGAGUAUAUGAGCAAGGGGGGUCAAGAUCAUGAAGGGAAAUCUACAGAGACAACUGAACAAGCACAUAGGAACUCAUGAACUUCAGACCAACAGCUGUGGAGCCUGUAUGGGACUGGACUAGGCCCUCUGCACAAGCAAGACAGUUGUGUAGCUUGGUCUGUUUGAGGGGUCUCUGGCAGUGUGAUCAGGUUCUAUCCCUGGUGCAUGAGCUGGCUUUUUGGAGCCCAUUACGUAUGGUCGGACACCUUGCUCAUCCUCGAUGCAAGGGGGAGGGGGGCUUAGUCUUGCUUCAACUGAAUGUACUAGGCUUAGCUGUACCCCCAUGGGAGAAUUCACUGCCCACCUCAUGGGAGGAGGGGAUGAGGCGGGGAAGGUGGGGGUAGGGGAGCGAGAGAAGGGAUGAGGAGAUAUCUGUGAUUGGUAUGUAAAAUGAAUAAAAAAAUUAAAAAAACUACUUGUUUUAAAUCAAUGAGUCUUAAAACUUUACAAACAAUGGUUCUGUAUUGAUUAUUCAAGGGUAUAACUGGCAUCAUAUUUAUGCAAUAUUUCUGAAAAAUUAAAACAUUAUAUACUUGAUUUAUUAGUUUAUAUACCACUUCUGUUAGCCACCCUCUAAGACACAUGCCAUUGAUUUUCAUAUUCUGGUGUUGAUGUCCUUGUGUGGUUCCCCUGACAAUGUGUCAGCAAUGGCUUUUGUGAUAGAUAGUAUCCUGGAAAAAGGAGGAUAUGUUUGUACCAAGGCUCAAUCAAGUAAGAGUUUGCCACUACUGAGAAUAAAAUACCCUGUUCUUGGGGACUGGAAGUAAGAGAACCAAUUUUGGAUACCAGUGACCAUGUAAAAGUCAAGCAUGGCUGUGCAUCCCCGUAACGCCAGUCCUUGUGCAGUGAGGUGGACACAGGACUAUUGAGGCUUGCAUAUUUGGCCGAUUACCAGAAAUACUAUGAUCUUCAGGUUCAGUGAGACACCUUAUCUCAAGGGAAUAAGGUAAAGAGUAAUAGAGAUAGCCAUCUCUGUCUCUGUCUCUGUCUCUCUCUGUCUCUCUCUGUCUCUCUCUCUCUCUCUCACACACACACACACACACACACACUCCAGAUGAAUGAAUAUUAUGAGCCCUUUGCUAUAUGCAGUUCCUUCUGCUGUGAAUUUCAAUGAAUAAAAACACAGAUUUGAUCUCCUGGCUCCUACUAUUCAUACCAUAAACAAAGACAAGCAGUUCUAGAGACAGAUUCCUCUACUAUCCACCUUAGACUUUCCUCUGUCUUCACUCAGCUAUUGGAUCACUGCAUUCUUCUCCCUUUGGGAAACCAUCUGUUUGGAAACUUGGUCUCAGAAUGUAUCCAUGGUCUUCUCACAUGGGUUUAUCCUAGUGUUUCUCUCCUCUGUUCACUUGGUCCUGUCUUCUAGGAAUUCAUUGUUGAAAUUACCUAUUAUCUGCUGGCAUUCUUUAAUUACUGGCUGGUCUCCUUCCUAAUUUUUUCUAUUCAUUAUUUAAUUCAUUGAAGUAAAUUCUAUUAACAAGACAGUAUCUCUACCUUUAAAGUAGUGACAGAUGUGAACCAGGAAUGCACAGUCUCUCCAUUCUAAUUUUGGCAUCCCAUAGACAUUGAUUCCCAGAGCCAACUUCAUUUCCUCUUCUGCCAGCACUGAGAGCUCCUAGCUGCCCACUUAAGGAUCCCUGGAACCAACUUUAGUUGGCCACAUUAGGUUUUUUUGUAGGUGUGAUAAACUACCUAACAAAGACAAUUGAGAGGGGUGGUUUUACGUUUUGGUUCACAGUUUGGGAGGUCUCAUUUCAUAGCCUUGGGUUCACUGAUUCUCAGUCCAUGAUGACAUGGAACACCAUAGAACAAAAGCUACUCAUUGUGAGGGCUGACAGAAGCAGAAAGAACAAAAGGCAUCAGGGACCAGGCACAAUCCUCAAAGGUGUACCCCUAGUGACUCUUCUGCUGCUAGUCUCCAGUUUCCAAAAUUUCCCUUCCAUCCCCAAAUAGUUACGCCAGCCAAGGAUCAGUCAUUCACCACAUGUGCCUACAAGGAACACUUCAGAUUCAAACCAUUAUUCUAGCCAAUCAUAAUUCAGUCCAUCAAGCCCAGUUUAUUCAAAUUUUGAAUAAAAUUAAAUUAAAUUCUCAUUUCUGUUUUCAUUAGACUUAUGCCAAGGUGGUAAUAUUUUACAGGAAAAUUCUGGGUGAUUUUUAAACUACAUAGAGUUUUAUCAAGUGACAACCUGUAUUCUGUCUGAAACCUGUCAUAGUCUGUAGAGGAAGGUCAGGUUCCUCAUGAUGGUUUAUCAAGGAAGGAUUUUCAGAGACAAUUGUAUUUUGAGUUUGAUUUUAAAUACACAAUGAGUUUUGGAUAGGCCAACAGAGGGAAGAAUUUGGAUUGUGUGUGCACAAAAAAAUGGUGGUGGAUAGGGUUUUCCUGGGGGACCAUGAGCUCAAUAGGAGAGAAAGGAGGGGAGGGGAUUAAAGACAGUUGUAGGGGCAAGUUGUGAGCAUCAAAUCAAAUAAUAUAUUCAGAAGAAUUUUGUAGACUUCAAAGUACCCUAGCUAUAUGGUAAAGUAUUGGUACAAUACUAGAGACUGUGGUGGUGCCGUGAAAUAAUAUUUGAUUUGGGGCUUUGUUAUUGCUUUCAAAGAAAAGAGUUUUUGAAGAUCAUUGCUUUGUAUAGCUCUCCUCCACGUUCCAUUGCCUGUAGCUAUCUUUCUUAUUGACUUCU